rnacentral:rRNA from 1 species
UACAACUUUCAGCAAUGGAUCUCUUGGCUCUCGCAUCCAUGAAGAACGCAGCGAAAUGCGAUAAGUAAUGUGAAUUGCAGAUUUUCAGUGAAUCAUCGAAUCUUUGAACGCACCUGGACGCAUCCUUGGUAUUCCGAGGAGCAUGCCUGUUUGAGUGUCAUUUUUAUUC